GUGAACUCUCCAGCUCCCCACCUAGGACUGGUCACAGACCUAGGGAAGAUGUCACCACCCAUCUCCAGACUCUGCGACCAGAGACCUUCUGAAACCAGACCACCAGGAUUCCUCACCACAUCCUUCCGUGGCUCUUUUGACCAUGAAUGGAGAAGCAGAAGAGCAGCCCAGCCCCCAGACGUGACCUGGUUCCGUAACCUGAACCACCUCCCCUCUGCCAAGGACAGCGCCCACCAUCAGAAGCCUGCAUCCCAGGGCUCGGGCAUUGCCAGCAAAGAGUUGGGAAAACCUAAAUAUCUCUCAGAAGGAAACUGGCUACACACAAUGGAAUACCAUUAUUCCAUUAAAGGCGAUUGAAGGUGAUGUCAGAGAUCUACAUACCUUGAUGUGAAACGUGUCCUCCAAAUACAGCAUUGGGCUCAUCACUUAAAAUGGUCGAGGGAGGAGGCACCCACCCAUGCUGGGUCUUCUCACGCGUGGAGUGAGUCAGCACCGACCACAGGCACUCGGAGCCUCUUCUGAUGGAGUGGGUUUACAGAAGCCAUCCCUCCUCCCUUGUGCUCACAUGCACAAGCUUAGGGAUCAUGGAGUUCUCAUUCCUUCAAUAUUCACUUGGUCAGUAUUUACUGAUGCUCAUGUGUCUCAAGAUA